rfam:Oryza glumipatula chromosome 7, whole genome shotgun sequence.
AAAAACUCAAUUCCUAGGUUUUUUUCUAACAUGUGACCAUUCGUCUUAUUUAAAAAAGUUUAAAAAGAUAAGUUAUGCAUAAAGUAUUAUUCAUGUUUUAUCAUCUAACAAUAAUGAAAAUACUAAUCAUAAAAAAAUUUCAUAUAAAACGGACGGUCAAAUGUUAGACACGAAAACCAAAGAAUUCAGUCUUU